UACGGAAGGCAGCAGUGGGGAAUUUUGGACAAUGGGCGAAAGCCUGAUCCAGCAAUGCCGCGUGCAGGAUGAAGGCCCUCGGGUUGUAAACUGCUUUUGUACGGAACGAAAAGCCUGGGGCUAAUACCCCCGGGGUCAUGACGGUACCGUAAGAAUAAGCACCGGCUAACUACGUGCCAGCAGCCGCGGUAAUACGUAGGGUGCAAGCGUUAAUCGGAAUUACUGGGCGUAAAGCGUGCGCAGGCGGUUUUUGUAAGACAGUGGUGAAAUCCCCCGGGCUCAACCUGGGAACUGCCAUUGUGACUGCAAAGCUAGAGUGCGGCAGAGGGGGAUGGAAUUCCGCGUGUAGCAGUGAAAUGCGUAGAUAUGCGGAGGAACACCGAUGGCGAAGGCAAUCCCCUGGGCCUGCACUGACGCUCAUGCACGAAAGCGUGGGGAGCAAACAGGAUUAGGAUAACC
rnacentral:rRNA from 1 species